GGUAUCUCUGGGUGGUCAACUUCCUAAGUUGGCUUUCCAGUCAUCUUCUCGGAAGAAGUUAUUCAUUCCAUGAAUUUAUUGAGUACUUCCAAACACCAGGCACAGGGUUAAACUCUGCGAUCUGAAGGCAAAAAUACUGAAAUUUACAGUGGUUUGAGGAAGCAGGCAUAAUUUAAGCUUCAUGUGAAC